CUUGAUGUUCGUCAGAAUCCCCAUAUGCUGCAUAGUCUUUCUACCGAACGGCAUGGUGGUUGGUAGUUUUGGCACGAAUUUACGGUGCUAUGGAGGUCUCAGCGGUGUUCGCCAACUCGAGUGUCAGAUUUUAGUUCCAGACACUCAACAGCAAAACACCGCUGUUCAGGAGCUAAGAUGGCCGCGGACACUUGUAUAAGUCCCGAAAUGGCCACCCAGGAACUUAAACAAAGCGUUCGUGCGUUUCCCAUAAAGACUGGAUGUGCCGAUCAGGGAGGUAAAUUACCACUUAAUUCGGUAGCAGGGUGGUCCGGUGUUCAG